rnacentral:lncRNA from 1 species
AGCCAGAGCCAUUGCCAGCUUGGCAUUCUCACUCACCCUUCAAACCAAAGCUCAAGAAAAGCAGUGCGGAAGGAGGCCAAACCUGAGGCAGAGGACUCACCGUGUGCCUUUGGGAGGGCAGAGGCUGCCGGAGCUGGAACUGGCCCUGGGCGGGGCUGGACUUUAGGCGGAUGGAGCCGGGGCUGAAGCUCAGUCACUCUGCUGGUUACUCCUUGGAGCACUCCUGAAUCAGUGGUCCUCCUCCCCGCAGCGAUGGGAAAUCCUGGAUCUCACGUACUUGGGAGCGCUGGGGUCCACCUGAAGAAGUGGUAGCGGAUGAUCCGGAGUCCCCUCGGAAAUGGGGCGAUCUGCCUGUCAGCCCUGGCUUUGUGCUCUAGGAUGGGGGCAGCAGACGCAUGUCUCGGCGUGUGUACACACAGAAUCCCGGGUUUCCAUCUCCAUAAAGGGCUGAUUGGAUUUUCUGCCUCCCUCCCUUCCUCCCCGGCCCCAAGUUCGAUGAGCUCAGUCAUGACCAUCCCCACCGGCCCCUCCCGGGACCCAGAAGAGAACAGCGUGGCUUGUCAGCCCUUUCCAACAAGAUGCAGGGCUUGUCACCCACCAUUAGCGAGAAGCUUUUUCUACACUGCCCAGAUCUUGGCUUCCUCCAGGAAGUCCCGGUUUCACAGACCUGCCGCUCCUCCAGGGAUCUCUGAGGGCUCUGAUGGGGCUGGAUCUGAAGGCUGCUGGUUUAUUGUGUUCGUCAUAAGUUUAUAUGAUAGUUCCUGUCAAUUACUCAGCUGGUCAAUAAACACUUAUUAAGCACCUACUAAAUGCCAGAUUCAGGGGUUAGAACAUGAGCCGGGUGACUGAAUUACCAUCUCUCGCCUGACGCUUCUCUGACAAAGUCUAGGAGGAUGUAGAAAUCAUGAUGUCAUUUAUGGGCUCAACUCCUCCUGGCCAUGUCCAGUCCUUCCAGAUCCAUUCUCGUUUCAGACACUCAACUCUAAGGCCGUGGCUAACCGACAGUCCA